GUGGGCAACCUGCCUGUAAGACUGGGAUAACUUCGGGAAACCGGAGCUAAUACCGGAUAAUCCUUUYCCUCACAUGAGGRAAAGCUGAAAGACGGUUUCGGCUGUCACUUACAGAUGGGCCCGCGGCGCAUUAGCUAGUUGGUGAGGUAACGGCUCACCAAGGCGACGAUGCGUAGCCGACCUGAGAGGGUGAUCGGCCACACUGGGACUGAGACACGGCCCAGACUCCUACGGGAGGCAGCAGUAGGGAAUCUUCCGCAAUGGACGAAAGUCUGACGGAGCAACGCCGCGUGAGCGAUGAAGGCCUUCGGGUCGUAAAGCUCUGUUGUCAGGGAAGAACAAGUACCGGAGUAACUGCCGGUACCUUGACGGUACCUGACCAGAAAGCCACGGCUAACUACGUGCCAGCAGCCGCGGUAAUACGUAGGUGGCAAGCGUUGUCCGGAAUUAUUGGGCGUAAAGCGCGCGCAGGCGGUUCCUUAAGUCUGAUGUGAAAGCCCCCGGCUCAACCGGGGAGGGUCAUUGGAAACUGGGGAACUUGAGUGCAGAAGAGGAGAGCGGAAUUCCACGUGUAGCGGUGAAAUGCGUAGAGAUGUGGAGGAACACCAGUGGCGAAGGCGGCUCUCUGGUCUGUAACUGACGCUGAGGCGCGAAAGCGUUAACUGACGCUGAGGCGCGAAAGCGUGGGGAGCGAACAGGAUUAGAUACCCUGGUAGUCCACGCCGUAAACGAUGAGUGCUAAGUGUUAGAGGGUUUCCGCCCUUUAGUGCUGCAGCAAACGCAUUAAGCACUCCGCCUGGGGAGUACGGCCGCAAGGCUGAAACUCAAAGGAAUUGACGGGGGCCCGCACAAGCGGUGGAGCAUGUGGUUUAAUUCGAAGCAACGCGAAGAACCUUACCAGGUCUUGACAUCCUCUGACAACCCUAGAGAUAGGGCUUUCCCCUUCGGGGGACAGAGUGACAGGUGGUGCAUGGUUGUCGUCAGCUCGUGUCGUGAGAUGUUGGGUUAAGUCCCGCAACGAGCGCAACCCUUGAUCUUAGUUGCCAGCAUUAAGUUGGGCACUCUAAGGUGACUGCCGGUGACAAACCGGAGGAAGGUGGGGAUGACGUCAAAUCAUCAUGCCCCUUAUGACCUGGGCUACACACGUGCUACAAUGGAUGGAACAAAGGGCAGCGAAGCCGCGAGGUGAAGCCAAUCCCAUAAAACCAUUCUCAGUUCGGAUUGCAGGCUGCAACUCGCCUGCAUGAAGCCGGAAUCGCUAGUAAUCGCGGAUCAGCAUGCCGCGGUGAAUACGUUCCCGGGCCUUGUACACACCGCCCGUCACACCA
rnacentral:rRNA from 1 species